rnacentral:rRNA from 1 species
UACAGAGGUCUCAAGCGUUGUUCGGAUUCAUUGGGCGUAAAGGGUGCGUAGGCGGCGCGGUAAGUCGGGCGUGAAAUCUCGGAGCUUAACUCCGGAACUGCAUUCGAUACUGCCGUGCUUGAGGACUGGAGAGGAGACUGGAAUUUACGGUGUAGCGGUGAAAUGCGUAGAUAUCGUAAGGAAGACCAGUGGCGAAGGCGGGUCUCUGGACAGUUCCUGACGCUGAGGCACGAAGGCCAGGGGAGCAAACGGG